rnacentral:lncRNA from 1 species
CACAGUUGACAAGAUUUUUUAUUUUCAUGAUUACUUCUCUGCCUUUUUUUAUUUUGCCUGCAGGCAAAGGUUGGCAUACAUGUCAAGAGAACAUUCUCCAGCUGGGGCCUGCAGUAUAGAGAAUUGUAUACUCCAGAGGGCUCAUGGGACCUUGGGCAGAUUAUUAUGGUAAUAUUGGAGACUGCUGUCCUUUCCCUCCCACAGCUGGGCCGCCUCUCUCAUUAAGCAUUAGCAUGAAAGUCAGAUAAAGAUCUGUGUGGCAUCACUGUAAAUGUGAUUUGUACUUACAAAAUAAACAUGGUUUCUCAACCUAUUUUCUUCUCAUGUACUUUUGAGGAGGGAGAGUGAGAGAGCAGCUGGGCAAGCACCUGACAGCUGGCCAAGGUCCUGAAGGAACAUGCG